rnacentral:rRNA from 1 species
CAGUCGCCACGGUAAAACAGAGGGUGCGAGCGUUAAUCGGAUUUACUGGGCGUAAAGCGUGCGUAGGCGGCUUUUUAAGUCGGAUGUGAAAUCCCUGAGCUUAACUUAGGAAUUGCAUUCGAUACUGGGAAGCUAGAGUAUGGGAGAGGAUGGUAGAAUUCCAGGUGUAGCGGUGAAAUGCGUAGAGAUCUGGAGGAAUACCGAUGGCGAAGGCAGACAUCUGGCCUAAUACUGACGCUGAGGUACGAAAGCAUGGGGAGCAAACAGGAUUAGAUACCCCGGUAGUCCCUGUCUCUUAUAC